UAGGCAAGAAGUGAAAUUUGGAGGCUC
rnacentral:piRNA from 1 species